rnacentral:snRNA from 1 species
GUGCUCACUUUGGCAGCAUAUAAAUUAAAACUGGAACAAUACAGAGAAGAUCAGCAUGGCUCCUGCACAAGGGUGACACACAAAUUUUUGAAGCAUUCCAUAUUUUU